UUAAGUUCAGCGGGUAUCCCUACCUGAUCCGAGGUCAACCUAAGAAAGUUGGGGGUUGUUAGCAAGUGUUUCUAGCACUCAACAGCGGAAUAAUUACUACGCUGAGAGCUUUAUAGCACCGCCACUAUAUUUAAGGGAUGCAGAGGAUGCAAGCCCCAAUACCGCUUGCGCGAUGUGGUCUAAUGACGCUCGAACAGGCA
rnacentral:misc_RNA from 1 species